rnacentral:rRNA from 1 species
CCUACGGGUGGCAGCAGUGAGGAAUAUUGGGCAAUGGGCGCGAGCCUGAACCAGCCAAGGAGCGUGAAGGAUGACUGCCCGACGGGGUGUAAACUUCUUGUAUAAAGGAAGAAAGUGAGGCACGUGUGCCGUGUUGUAUGUAGUUUAUGAAUAAGGAUCGGCUAACUCCGUGCCAGCAGCCGCGGUAAUACGGAGGAUCCGAGCGUUCUCCGGAUUGAUUGGGGGUAAAGGGAGCGUAGAUGGGUUGUUACGUCAGUUGUGACAGUUUGCGGCUCCACCGUAAAAUGGCCCUUGAUACUGGCAGCCUUGCGUACAGUUGCGUUCGUCGGCCUUCG